GACGAACGCUGGCGGCGUGCCUAAUACAUGCAAGUGGGACGCAAGGAAACACACUGUGCUUGCACACCGUGUUUUCUUGAGUCGCGAACGGGUGAGUAACGCGUAGGUAACCUGCCUAUUAGCGGGGGAUAACUAUUGGAAACGAUAGCUAAUACCGCAUAAUAUUAAUUAUUGCAUGAUAAUUGAUUGAAAGAUGCAAGCGCAUCACUAGUAGAUGGACCUGCGUUGUAUUAGCUAGUUGGUAAGGUAAGAGCUUACCAAGGCGACGAUACAUAGCCGACCUGAGAGGGUGAUCGGCCACACUGGGACUGAGACACGGCCCAGACUCCUACGGGAGGCAGCAGUAGGGAAUCUUCGGCAAUGGACGAAAGUCUGACCGAGCAACGCCGCGUGAGUGAAGAAGGUUUUCGGAUCGUAAAGCUCUGUUGUAAGUCAAGAACGUGUGUGAGAGUGGAAAGUC
rnacentral:rRNA from 1 species